CAAUCAAUGAAAUUGAAAGCACAAGACAUGAAGUAAACAAUCAAGAGAAAGCAGUAAACCUAAUCAUGCAAUUCUAAAGAAUAUAAAAGAGAAUAAUCGAGAAAGAAAGGAAACCCGCGACUCGUCGGGCUUUAUACAAUGCAUGAAACCCGAUACAUAUAUCGGGAAAAUGAAUAUUACAUAACAAUGGUCAGAAUGGACAUCGACCUUCACCAUCUUCACGCCUUCUCCAUCUUCGAGGUUCUAAUCUAAAUCU
rnacentral:lncRNA from 1 species